GUGCCAGCCGCGCGGUAAUACCGGCAGCCCGAGUGAUGGCCGAUAUUAUUGGGCCUAAAGCGUCCGUAGCUGGCCGAACAAGUCCGUCGGGAAAUCCACGUGCUUAACACGUGGGCGUCCAGCGGAAACUGUCCGGCUUGGGGCCGAACGACCCGAGGGGUACGUCCGGGGUAGGAGUGAAAUCCUGUAAUCCUGGACGGACCGCCGGUGGCGAAAGCGCCUCGGGAGGACGGACCCGACGGUGAGGGACGAAAGCCAGGGUCUCGAACCGGAUUAGAAACCCGAGUAGUCC
rnacentral:rRNA from 1 species